rnacentral:tRNA from 1 species
GGACCUCUAGCUCAAUCGGCAGAGCAGCUGACUCUUAAUCAGCGGGUUCCGGGUUCGAGUCCCGGGGGGUUCA